UACGUAGGUGGCGAGCGUUGUCCGGAAUGACUGGGCGUAAAGGGAGCGUAGGUUGCGAUUUAAGUUAGAUGUGAAAGCCCGGGGCUCAACCUCGGAACUGCAUUUAAAACUGGAUUGCUAGAGUACAGGAGGGGUAAGCGGAAUUUCUAGUGUAGCGGUGAAAUGCUUAGAUAUUAGGAAGAACACCAGAGGCGAAGGCGGCUUACUGGACUGCAACUGACGCUGAGGCGCGAAAGCGUGGGGAGCAA
rnacentral:rRNA from 1 species